GCAACAGAAGAGAAUCAAUUGAAAUAAUCAAAGCAUCUAACAACUGCAUAGGAAGUUUUUUGAUGAUGAAACUUUCAUGGAUCCUUUGUCAAUGACAAGAACAAUGGCUGGAACACAGCAGAUUUCUACCUUACCUGAUGUAUUUGGCUUCACGUCAGCAGAAGAGAAGUAGCCCAGCACCAACAAGACAUCAAGGGGGCCCCAGAGCUUGUUGGGAGACGUAUAAAGGUGUGGUCUUAUGCCAGCGAAGGGAGGAGUCCUGGGACUGGACAGAUGUCAAGGGUGACCUCUUCAUCAAGCUAACUGCUUGCACACCCGCCUGC
rnacentral:lncRNA from 1 species